rnacentral:rRNA from 1 species
UACGUAGGGUCCGAGCGUUGUCCGGAAUUAUUGGGCGUAAAGGGCUCGUAGGCGGCCAACUAAGUCAGACGUGAAAUCCCUCGGCUUAACCGGGGAACUGCGUCUGAUACUGGAUGGCUUGAAUCCGGGAGAGGGAUGCGGAAUUCCAGGUGUAGCGGUGAAAUGCGUAGAUAUCUGGAGGAACACCGGUGGCGAAGGCGACAUCCUGGACCGGUAUUGACGCUGAGUGAGCGAAAGCCAGGGGAGCAAACGGG